GGAAGAAGGCUCUAGGGUUGUAAACUGCUGUCAAGCAAGGGGAAACGUAAGUCCUCAAUAGGGGCUUGCCUGACUGCUUGCUAAAGGAAGGUCCGGCUAAACACGUGCCAGCAGCCGCGGUAAUACGUGUGGACCAAGCGUUGUUCGGAAUUACUGGGCUUAAAGGGAGCGUAGGUGGCUGAGUAAGUCACGGGUGAAAGCCGGCGGCCCAACCGUCGAAUUGCCUAUGAUACUGCUCGGCUUGAGUGUGCGAGGGGGAAGCGGAACGCGUGGUGUAGCGGUGAAAUGCGUAGAUAUCACGCGGAAGGCCAGAGCCGAAGGGGGCUUCCUGGUGCACAACUGACACUGAGGCUCGAAAGCGUGGGGAGCAAACAGGAUUAGAUACCCCCGUAGUCC
rnacentral:rRNA from 1 species